rnacentral:rRNA from 1 species
UACAGAGGGGGCAAGCGUUGUCCGGAAUUACUGGGCGUAAAGGGCGCGUAGGCGGCCCGCUAAGUCGAACGUGAAAUCCCCGAGCUCAACUCGGGAACUGCGUCCGAUACUGGUGGGCUUGAAUCCGGGAGAGGGAUGCGGAAUUCCAGGUGUAGCGGUGAAAUGCGUAGAUAUCUGGAGGAACACCGGUGGCGAAGGCGGCAUCCUGGACCGGCAUUGACGCUGAGGCGCGAAAGCUAGGGGAGCAAACGGG